GAAUGGAUCAACAACUCCGGUUAAAAUUGAAGAAGAUUUAGAUAAUCUUGAACAACUUGAAGCGGACUUGAUUAAUACCGGAAGAGAGCCUUGCAUCGUCGA